UUACGGGCGAAGAUAAGACGGAUUAGCGGCGGACGGGUGAGUAACACGUGAGUAACCUGCCUUUUACACAGGGAUAGCCUCGGGAAACCGGGAUUAAAACCUGAUGAAACUAUCAAAUCACAUGAUUAAGAAAGUUAAAACUCCGGUGGUAAAAGAUGGACUCGCGUCCCAUUAGCUAGUUGGUGAAGGUAACGGCCCACCAAGGCAACGAUGGGUAGCCGGCCUGAGAGGGUGAACGGCCACAUUGGAACUGAGAAACGGUCCAAACUCCUACGGGAGGCAGCAGUU
rnacentral:rRNA from 1 species